rnacentral:tRNA from 1 species
AGGGAUGUAGCUCAGAGGUAGAGCAUUUGCCUAGCAUGAAGAAGGCCCUGGGUUGCAUCCCCAGUACCACCA